UACAGAGGGGGCAAGCGUUGUUCGGAAUUACUGGGCGUAAAGGGCGCGUAGGCGGCCUGCUAAGUCGAACGUGAAAUCCCUCGGCUUAACCGAGGAACUGCCUGUCAGACUGUGAGGCUUGAGACCGGGAGAGGUGAGUGGAAUUCCCAGUGUAGCGGUGAAAUGCGUAGAUAUUGGGAGGAACACCAGUGGCGAAGGCGGCUCACUGGACCGGAACUGACGCUGAGGCGCGAAAGCGUGGGGAGCAAACAGG
rnacentral:rRNA from 1 species